UACAGAGGGGGCAAGCGUUAUUCGGAAUUACUGGGCGUAAAGGGCGCGUAGGCGGUUCGCUAAGUUGGAUGUGAAAACUCUGGGCUCAACCCAGAGCCUGCAUCCAAAACUGGCGGGCUAGAGUUCUGGAGGGGGUAGCGGAAUUCCUGGUGUAGCGGUGAAAUGCGUAGAUAUCAGGAGGAACACCGGUGGCGAAGGCGGCUACCUGGACAGAAACUGACGCUGAGGCGCGAAAGCUAGGGGAGCAAACAGG
rnacentral:rRNA from 1 species